UACGUAGGGCGCAAGCGUUAUCCGGAAUUAUUGGGCGUAAAGAGCUCGUAGGCGGUUUGUCGCGUCUGCCGUGAAAGUCCGGGGCUCAACUCCGGAUCUGCGGUGGGUACGGGCAGACUAGAGUGAUGUAGGGGAGACUGGAAUUUACGGUGUAGCGGUGAAAUGCGUAGAUAUCGUAAGGAAGACCAGUGGCGAAGGCGGAUCUCUGGACAGUCCUGACGCUGAGGCGCGAAGGCCAGGGGGAGCAAACGGG
rnacentral:rRNA from 1 species